CUUGGUUGAUCCUGCCAAGGAAGCACACUAUGGUCAUAGAUUAAGCCAUGCAAGUGUAAGUUCAGGUAACUAAACUGCGAAUAGCUCAUUAACACACUCAUAAUCUACUUGGAAACAAUUUUUUAAAAAUUUUAAAUGGAUAGCAGGAGUAAUUCUCGUGCUAAUACAUGAAAUUUUAAUAAUCUCAAAUUAAAUCAGAUUAUUUUUAAUACCUUUUAAUAGGUAAUCCAAUCGAAUGAGUGACCUAUCAGGCCAGUACUUAGGGUCUUUACCUAAGUAAGCUAUCACGGGUAACGGGCGGUUACCGUCGUACUGCCGGAGAAGGCGCCUGAGAGAUAGCGACUAUAUCCACGGGUAGCAGCAGGCGCGAAACUUACCCACUCGAGACUAUCGGAGGUGGUAAUGACCAGUUAUAAUUAAGGAAUUUUCCUUAUUAUAUAGGAAUAUACUUUUCCAGUAUAUUGUAACCUAGCAGAGGGCCAGUCUGGUGCCAGCAGCUGCGGUAAUUCCAGCUCUGCAAGUUUGCUCCCAUAUUGUUGUAGUUAAAACGCUCGUAGUCUGAAUUAUUUUAAUUUAAAUUUUUUAAAUUAAAAUUUAGUUUUUAUUUUAUAAAAACGUUCACUGUGAACAAAUCAGAACGCUUAAAGUAAUUUUCUUUAUUGAAUGAUUUAGCGCAGUAUGAAAUUUUUACUUUUUAAAUUUUAAUUAAUUUAACAAGUAAUAUCAAAGAGAAUAAUCGGGGAUAGAUCUAUUUCAUGGCGAACAGCGAAAUGUUUUGACCCAUGAGAGAGAAACGAAGGCGAAAGCAUCUAUCAAGUGUAUUUCUAUCGAUCAAGGGCGAGAGUAGGAGUAUCCAACCGGAUCAGAGACCCGGGUAGUUCCUACCUUAAACUAUGCCGACAAGGUUUUGUUUUUUUUAAUAAAAGCAGUACCAUAGGAGAAAUCAUAGUUCAUGGGCUCUGGGGGAACUACGACCGCAAGGCUGAAACUUAAAGGAAUUGACGGAAGGGCACACCAGGGGUGGAGCUUGUGGCUUAAUUUGAAUCAACACGGGAAAACUUACCAGGACCAGAUAUUUUUAAUGACUGAUCAGGCUAUAGGUCUUUCAGGAUAUGAUUUUUGGUGGUGCAUGGCCGUUGGUGGUGCGUGGGUUGACCUGUCUAGCGUUGAUUCAGAUAACGAGCGAGAUUAUCACCAAUUAAAUAUAUAAAUAUUUUUAUUAAAAUAAUUUAUUUUCUAAUUGGGACUCCCUGCGUCUAAGCAGGAGGAAGAUGGUAG
rnacentral:rRNA from 1 species